UCAGUAGGACACUGGGGUCUGACAGUAGAGGACAGUAGGACACUGGGGUCUGACAGUAGAGGACAGUAGGACACUGGGGUCUGACAGUAGAGGACAGUAGGACACUGGGGUCUGACAGUAGAGGUUAGGAGUAGGGAGGACAGUAGGACACUGGGGUCUGACAGUAGAGGUUAGGAGCAGGGAGGACAGUAGGACACUGGGGUCUGGCAGUAGAGGUUAGGAGCAGGGAGGGCAGUAGGACACUGGGGUCUGGCAGUAGAGGUCAGUAGGACACUGGGGUCUGGCAGUAGAGGUUAGGAGCAGGGAGGUCAGUAGGACACUGGGGUCUGACAGUAGAGGUCAGUAGGACACUGGGGUCUGACAGUAGAGGUCAGUAGCAGGGAGGACAGUAGGACACUGGGGUCUGACAGUAGAGGUUAGGAGCAGGGAGGUCAGUAGGACACUGGGGUCUGACAGUAGAGGACAGUAGGACACUGGGGUCUGACAGUAGAGGACAGUAGGACACUGGGGUCUGACAGUAGAGGACAGUAGGACACUGGGGUCUGACAGUAGAGGUUAGGAGUAGGGAGGACAGUAGGACACUGGGGUCUGACAGUAGAGGUUAGGAGCAGGGAGGACAGUAGGACACUGGGGUCUGGCAGUAGAGGUUAGGAGCAGGGAGGGCAGUAGGACACUGGGGUCUGGCAGUAGAGGUCAGUAGGACACUGGGGUCUGGCAGUAGAGGUUAGGAGCAGGGAGGUCAGUAGGACACUGGGGUCUGGCAGUAGAGGUUAGGAGCAGGGAGGACAGUAGGACACUGGGGUCUGACAGUAGAGGUCAGUAGGACACUGGGGUCUGACAGUAGAGGUCAGGAGCAGGGAGGACAGUAGGCCACUGGGGUCUGACAGUAGAGGUUAGGAGCAGGGAGGACAGUAGGACACUGGGGUCUGACAGUAGAGGUUAGGAGCAGGGAGGACAGUAGGACACUGGGGUCUGACAGUAGAGGACAGUAGGACACUGGGGUCUGACAGUAGAGGUUAGGAGUAGGGAGGACAGUAGGACACUGGGGUCUGACAGUAGAGGUUAGGAGCAGGGAGGACAGUAGGACACUGGGGUCUGACAGUAGAGGACAGUAGGACACUGGGGUCUGACAGUAGAGGACAGUAGGACACUGGGGUCUGACAGUAGAGGACAGUAGGACACUGGGGUCUGACAGUAGAGGACAGUAGGACACUGGGGUCUGACAGUAGAGGACAGUAGGACACUGGGGUCUGACAGUAGAGGACAGUAGGACACUGGGGUCUGACAGUAGAGGACAGUAGGACACUGGGGUCUGACAGUAGAGGUUAGGAGUAGGGAGGACAGUAGGACACUGGGGUCUGACAGUAGAGGUUAGGAGCAGGGAGGACAGUAGGACACUGGGGUCUGGCAGUAGAGGUUAGGAGCAGGGAGGGCAGUAGGACACUGGGGUCUGGCAGUAGAGGUCAGUAGGACACUGGGGUCUGGCAGUAGAGGUUAGGAGCAGGGAGGUCAGUAGGACACUGGGGUCUGACAGUAGAGGUCAGUAGGACACUGGGGUCUGACAGUAGAGGUCAGUAGCAGGGAGGACAGUAGGACACUGGGGUCUGACAGUAGAGGUUAGGAGCAGGGAGGUCAGUAGGACACUGGGGUCUGACAGUAGAGGUCAGUAGGACACUGGGGUCUGACAGUAGAGGUCAGUAGGACACUGGGGUCUGACAGUAGAGGACAGUAGGACACUGGGGUCUGACAGUAGAGGACAGUAGGACACUGGGGUCUGACAGUAGAGGACAGUAGGACACUGGGGUCUGACAGUAGAGGUUAGGAGUAGGGAGGACAGUAGGACACUGGGGUCUGACAGUAGAGGUUAGGAGCAGGGGGGACAGUAGGACACUGGGGUCUGACAGUAGAGGACAGUAGGCCACUGGGGUCUGACAGUAGAGGUUAGGAGCAGGGAGGACAGUAGGACACUGGGGUCUGACAGUAGAGGUUAGGAGCAGGGAGGACAGUAGGACACUGGGGUCUGACAGUAGAGGUUAGGAGCAGGGAGGACAGUAGGACACUGGGGUCUGACAGUAGAGGUUAGGAGCAGGGAGGACAGUAGGACACUGGGGUCUGACAGUAGAGGUUAGGAGCAGGGGGGACAGUAGCACACUGGGGUCUGACAGUAGAGGACAGUAGGCCACUGGGGUCUGACAGUAGAGGUUAGGAGCAGGGAGGACAGUAGGACACUGGGGUCUGACAGUAGAGGUUAGGAGCAGGGAGGACAGUAGGACACUGGGGUCUGACAGUAGAGGUUAGGAGCAGGGAGGACAGUAGGACACUGGGGUCUGACAGUAGAGGUUAGGAGCAGGGAGGACAGUAGGACACUGGGGUCUGACAGUAGAGGUUAGGAGCAGGGAGGACAGUAGGACACUGGGGUCUGACAGUAGAGGACAGUAGGACACUGGGGUCUGACAGUAGAGGACAGUAGGACACUGGGGUCUGACAGUAGAGGUUCAACCAGAUAUAGAGAUACACUGAGUCCGUCAGAUGUAAAUUCUUUUGCUUCCCCCAAUCCAACAGACAACACAAUCAGCUAAUACACACCACACAUGGAGUACUAUAGGGGUUAAGUGACUGGCUCAAGGGCACAGUGACUGGAGAUGGUUCCUGGGAUGUGAAACCGCUAGAUGGC